rnacentral:rRNA from 1 species
UACGGUGAUCAUGGCGAGAGGGAAACGCCCAGCUCCAUUCCGAACCUGGAAGCUAAGCCUCUCAGCGCCGAUGGUACUUCUCGGGAGACCGGGUGGGAGAGUAGGACGUUGCCGGAC